rnacentral:rRNA from 1 species
AUGUCAUAUGGAGGUCGAUUAAUCCUGAUUAAUUCGGUCCUCACCAGUAUGCCCAUGUUUCUUUUAUCCUUUUUCGAGGUCCCGGUGGGGGUCAGGAAGAGGUUAGACUUUUAUCGAUCUCGAUUCUUUUGGCAGAAUGAUGAGUUGAUACGAAAGUAUAGGCUUGCAAAAUGGGAUAUCAUCUGUAGGCCGAAGGACCAAGGUGGUCUAGGCAUUGAAAAUCUAGAGAUCAAGAAUAGAUGUCUCCUUAGCAAGUGGCUUUUUAAACUUUCGUCCGAGACAGAGGCUACUUGGGCUCAGAUUCUGCGAAAUAAGUAUCUUCAGUCUAAAACUUUGGCUCAGGUGACUGUGCGCCCGACUGAUUCGCCGUUUUGGAAAGGGUUGAUGAGAGUCAAGCCACUCUUCUUUAACAGGGCAAAAAUCUUAGUCGGUGAUGGGGCUAACACGAGGUUCUGGGAGGAUACGUGGCUUGGGGAAACGCCUCUGGCACUUCAAUAUCCUACUCUGUAUAACAUUGUUCAACGUCGAGAAGCCUACGUUGCAACUAUCUUACAGUCCACGCCUCUCAAUAUUAGCUUUCGGAGGACGCUGGUAGGCGAUCGUUGGGAGGCCUGGCUUCACCUUGUACGAAGGCUGAUGGAUGUCCAGCUGUCUCAGCAGCUAGAUAGAUUGUUUUGGAAACUGACUAAGGACGGCAGGUUCUCGGUCAAAUCUAUGUAUCUGGAUGUCAUAAAUACUAGUGUCAUUCCUCGCUCGAAGCACGUCUGGAAAGUUAAGGUACCUUUGCGAAUCAAAGUGUUUAUGUGGUUUGUGCAUAAACAAGUCAUUUUGACAAAGGAUAACCUGGCAAAACGCAAUUGGAUGGGUUCUGCUAGGUGUAGUUUUUGUGAUGGUAACGAAACUAUCAGGCACCUAUUUCUAGAUUGUCCGCUGGCUAAGAUUCUUUGGCGUUCGAUUCAUAUUGCUUUUAAUAUUACUCCACCUACCUCUAUCAAUAUGUUAUUUGGAACAUGGCUUGAUGGGGUUAACUUGGAUUUAGCAAGACACAUUCGUGUUGGAGUGUGUGCCUUGUUAUGGGCAGUAUGGAACUGCAGAAAUGAUUUGGUUUUUAACAGAGCAACGAACUUUCACUUUUUGCAGGUUAUCUUUAGGGCCACAGCAUUGAUCCGUAUGUGGUCGCUACUCACACCGACGGAGGCCAGGGGGCGUUUGGCUACUGCGUCUACCCGAUGGGAGAUGGUAGCUCGGGUUAUUUUCAACCGGUUUGGAUGGCGGUCAUGUAAUAGGAUAGGCAUAUAG